GACGAACGCUGGCGGCGCGCCUAACACAUGCAAGUCGAACGAGCGAAAGAGAGCUUGCUUUCUCGAGCGAGUGGCGAACGGGUGAGUAACGCGUGAGGAACCUGCCUCAAAGAGGGGGACAACAGUUGGAAACGACUGCUAAUACCGCAUAAGCCCACGACCCGGCAUCGGGUUGAGGGAAAAGGAGCAAUCCGCUUUGAGAUGGCCUCGCGUCCGAUUAGCUGGUUGGUGAGGUAACGGCCCACCAAGGCAACGAUCGGUAGCCGGACUGAGAGGUUGAACGGCCACAUUGGGACUGAGACACGGCCCAGACUCCUACGGGAGGCAGCAGUGGGGAAUAUUGCACAAUGGGGGAAACCCUGAUGCAGCGACGCCGCGUGGAGGAAGAAGGUCUUCGGAUUGUAAACUCCUGUCGUAAGGGACGAUAGUGACGGUACCUUACAAGAAAGCCACGGCUAACUACGUGCCAGCAGCCGCGGUAAAACGUAGGUGGCAAGCGUUGUCCGGAAUUACUGGGUGUAAAGGGAGCGCAGGCGGGUCUGCAAGUUGGAAGUGAAACCCAUGGGCUCAACCCAUGAACUGCUUUCAAAACUGCGGAUCUUGAGUGGUGUAGAGGUAGGCGGAAUUCCCGGUGUAGCGGUGGAAUGCGUAGAUAUCGGGAGGAACACCAGUGGCGAAGGCGGCCUACUGGGCACUAACUGACGCUGAGGCUCGAAAGCAUGGGCAGCAAACAGG
rnacentral:rRNA from 1 species